AAAGCUUUAAGUUAAAUUAAACUAUUAACCUUCAAAGUUAAAUAUAUAUAGAUUAUAUAUAAGCUUUA
rnacentral:tRNA from 1 species